rnacentral:rRNA from 1 species
GACGAACCACACGAACGUUAUUCGGAAUUACUGGGCUUAAAGGGUGCGUAGGCUGUGCAUAAAGUUAGGUGUGAAAUCCCCCGGCUCAACCGGGGAAUUGCGCUUAAAACUACUGUGCUAGAGGAAGACAGAGGUGAGCGGAACUUCGGGUGGAGCGGUGAAAUGCGUUGAUAUCCGAAGGAACACCGGUGGCGAAAGCGGCUCACUGGGUCUUUUCUGACGCUGAUGCACGAAAGCUAGGGGAGCAAACGGG